CCUACGGGUGGCAGCAGUGAGGAAUAUUGGUCAAUGGACGAGAGUCUGAACCAGCCAAGUAGCGUGAAGGAGACGCCCUUCGGGGUGUAAAGUUCUGUUAGUGGGGACGAAAAAUGACGGUACCCACAGAGGAAGCACCGGCCAACUCCGUGCCAGCAGCCGCGGUAAUACGGAGGGUGCAAGCGUUGUCCGGAAUCAUUGGGCGUAAAGAGUUCGUAGGCGGCAUGUAAAGUCAGGUGUUAAAGGCGCAGGCUCAACCUGUGUAUGGCACUUGAUACUUGCAAGCUGGAAUGCGGUAGAGGUAGAGGGAAUUCCUGGUGUAGCGGUGAAAUGCUGAGAUAUCAGGAAGAACAUCGGGGGCGUAGGCGCUUUACUGGGCCGUAAUUGACGCUGAUGAACGAAAGCCAGGGUAGCAAAUAGGAUUAGAUACCCGAGUAGUC
rnacentral:rRNA from 1 species